AGGGACUAAUUUCAUAAUUCUUUAAAAGUAUAGGGACUAUAAGCACAUUUUAACCUAAUUCAACGCUUGGGAAAAAGUAAAUUUACCUCAGCAGCAAGGUAUUCAAGAACAGCAGCAAGGUAAACCGGAGCACCGGUUCCCACACGUUGAGAGUAUCGCCCUUUCUUCAAGUAUCGGCCAAUUCGACCAACGGGAAACUGUAAUCCGGCUUUCACCGAACGAGAAACCGGCUUCUUCUUUGGACCGCCGCCUUUCCUUCCUCCAGCUCC
rnacentral:lncRNA from 1 species